AUUGAACGCUGGCGGCAUGCCUUACACAUGCAAGUCGAACGGUAACGGGCCUUCGGGUGCCGACGAGUGGCGCACGGGUGAGUAAUACAUCGGAACGUGCCCGAUCGUGGGGGAUAACGAGGCGAAAGCUUUGCUAAUACCGCAUACGAUCUACGGAUGAAAGCAGGGGACCGCAAGGCCUUGCGCGGACGGAGCGGCCGAUGCCCGAUUAGGUAGUUGGUGGGAUAAAAGCUUACCAAGCCGACGAUCUGUAGCUGGUCUGAGAGGAUGAUCAGCCACACUGGGACUGAGACACGGCCCAGACUCCUACGGGAGGCAGCAGUGGGGAAUGUUGGACAAUGGGCGCAAGCCUGAUCCAGCCAUGCCGCGUGCAGGAUGAAGGCCUUCGGGUUGUAAACUGCUUUUGUACGGAACGAAAAGCCUUCUUUUAAUACAGGAGGGUCAUGACGGUACCGUAAGAAUAAGCACCGGCUAACUACGUG
rnacentral:rRNA from 1 species